AACAGCUCCGGAAGAGGAGAAUAUAUCGAAUGAUUUAAUCCAGAGCCCAAGCCUGGAAAACAUUCAGCAGAACUGUACCAGUUCAGUGCAGGAAGAGCUGGAACUGCCCGGAACCGUCCAAAUACCCCGUGUACGGAAAUAUCUUAAAUUGAGGAAAAGACGACGACUCUGUGCUCUGUAUACCAGGGUGAGGCUUGUUAGAGGUUUAUUGAAUGAGGCAACGUUGAUGGUGGAGCAGAUUUCAUCGAGACCUGGACAGCAAAAGC